CCGGGAAGCGCUUUCCCAGACCCUUCUGGCUGAAGUGCCCAAGCAGCUGGUGUCCUGUUAUAAAUGGCAGGGAUGGCCACCUCUGAAACCACCAGAGAUAAAGAAGGUGUAGACUGCAGCCUGGUGCUGGCAACCUGGAUCCCUGGGGUGAAGAGAGCUGUCAGCACCCAGGCCCUGCCGUGCAGCUAUGGGUGCUCAGUGCCUUGAGAUUGUGCCAUUCACACCAAUUCUCCUCCCUGCCCCUGCUUUGUAUCUUUGAUCUUUUCUGUUCCUGAAUGGAAGAAAUGUAAAUACAUGUUCUGGUUUAGCAAGGAGCAGCUUUUGGCUUAGUAACAGGGGGAGGGGGUUGCAGUGAAGACCCGGUAAAGAGUUUGUGGACAGAAGCUAUCGGGAACAGACUAACUGAAACCCCCACUGCAGAGAGGGGAGCUCUUUGGCUGGCCUCACUACGGGAAGCUGGCCGUGGGAGAAACGCUGUCCAUUAAGGUUUACAACUGCAGCAAGGUCUUCAGUAACAGAGCUGUCUCAGCCAGAGCAGAGCCGUGCCGGUCCUUACAGCUCGUGCAGACCUGGGAUUCCUCAGCUUGAAGCUGAUGCUGGCCAUCCCCUGUGUGCCAUCACUAACCAGGAGACCGCUCUGUUGUCCUAUUGCCAUGGCAACAAGAGGCGCCAACCGCUGUCCC